UACGUAGGGGGCAAGCGUUGUCCGGAAUCAUUGGGCGUAAAGAGCGUGUAGGCGGUUCGAUAAGUCUGUUGUGAAAGUCCAAGGCUCAACCUUGGGAUGCCGAUGGAUACUGUCGAACUCGAGUCCGGAAGAGGAGUGUGGAAUUCCUGGUGUAGCGGUGAAAUGCGCAGAUAUCAGGAGGAACACCGAUGGCGAAGGCAGCACUCUGGGACGUGACUGACGCUGAGACGCGAAAGCGUGGGGAGCAAACAGG
rnacentral:rRNA from 1 species